rnacentral:lncRNA from 1 species
UAGUUCAUAGUAUGAGAAAGCCUAACACUCAUUAGAGCAGUGGUUCUAAACCUUCUUAAUGCUGCAGCCCUUUAGUACAGUUCCCCAUGUUGUGACCCCUAACCAUAAAAUGAUUUUGUAGCUACUUCAUAACUAGUUUUGCUACUGUUAUGAAUCACAAAUCUGAUAAUGUGACCCCCCACCCCAAGGGAUCAUUCCCUACAGGUUGAGAAUAUAAAAAAGAAUGCAGCCUCCAACCCCAAAAUAUCCUGCUUCCAGGUGUCAGACGUGGUGUACAAAGAGGAGGACAAUAUGGCUCAACUAAGAGUGGAAAAUAUAUACACACCUAGGCUUGGCUCGGUGGUAAAGUGCUUCCCUAGCAUUUGUGAGGACUUGGGUUGCAUACUCAGAUACAGGUAAAAAGGUGGGGUGGGGUGUGUAUAUAAGACAAAACUAUGAGUUCCAGGCUAGCCUAGAAUACAGAAAGCAAUACUAUUUAAAAAAUCAGACCACAGAAUUAGCAACUAAGGACUUCAAAAAUAGCUAUUAUAUUUUCAAGAUUUAAAAGAAAGUGAACAUAACGAGAAAAAUGCCUUAAAAACUCAGCAAGUGUAAUUUCUAGAAUAUACCCUGGUUGAGAGUACACAGAUUAGACAAAACAGUUAGAAAGAUGUAUAGCUUUUAACUUAUCAGAAGGAACCAAACAACAGUACAAGAAAAGGAGGUCUCUGAGAAUGGUGUGACCUGUGAGGAAUACCACAUGGUGCAGCCUGGGUAUAGAUGGGGAGGAGGCAAGGAAAAGUACAGGGGAGGAAAUCAGAAGACAGCCAAAUCAUUUUCCAUACUUACAAUUAAAACCCUAAUGCUUCACAACAAUUGGGUACAUUGAGUGUUACAGCAGCAGUUAGAGACAUACUAAAUUCACAAGCACACAUAAAGAACAGCCAACUUUUCAUCAGAGAUCACACAAAGCAAAAAAUGCCUCUGAUUUUCUAGAAUUCCAUCUGCUAAAAGAAAAGAAUCUUCAAAAUAAAAUAAAGAUGUUAGCUUUCCGUUGCUAUAAUAAAUGCCUUAAAUAAAAAGAAUUACUUUAUCUCAC